UCCUACGGGAGGCAGCAGUGGGGUAUAUUGGACAAUGGGGGCAACCCUGAUCCAGCAAUGCCGCGUGUGUGAAGAAGGCCUUAGGGUUGUAAAGCACUUUAGGCUGGGAGGAAGACGUGUAGUUUAAGAGAUGAUACGUUUGACUGUACCGGCAGAAUAAGCACCGGCUAACUCUGUGCCAGCACCCGCGGUAAUA
rnacentral:rRNA from 1 species